rnacentral:rRNA from 1 species
AACGAACGCUGGCGGCGCGCCUAACACAUGCAAGUCGAACGCGAAAGUAGCAAUAUGAGUAGAGUGGCGCACGGGUGAGAAACGCGUAGGUAAUCUGCCCCUGAGAGAGGAAUAACCAGCCGAAAGGUUGGCUAAUACCACAUAGAGCGCAACAACAUAGAGUUGAGUGCGGAAAAGGGCGGGCAUAGCAAUAUGUCUGUCGCUCUGGGAUGAGCCUGCGUCCUAUUAGCUAGUUGGUGAGGUAACGGCUCACCAAGGCAGUGAUAGGUAGCUGGUCUGAGAGGACGAUCAGCCACACUGGAACUGAAACAACGGUCCAGACUCCUACGGGAGGCAGCAGUGGGGAAUCUUGCGCAAUGGAGGAAACUCUGACGCAGCGACGCCGCGUGGUGAAGAAGGUUUUCGGAUCGUAAAGCCCUGUCGAAUGGGACAAACGUCCAUCGUGCUCAUACC